UCGCCCCGCCUCGCUGCACAGCACUAACCCUAAGCACCCCAUGUGGAGACAGCUUAGAUGCCCACCACUAAACUAAUGGACAAAGAAAACAUGGAGGAUGCGCACAUGGAGUGUUCUUCAGCCAUAAUAGAGAACGCAGGAUAUCUGCAGAAAAAUGAGUUGAACUGGAGAUAGUUACAGCAUAAGGCAGAUGAAGAGUGAUGCAGUCCCAAAGAUGAGCAGAGACAGCUAGCUGGGCAGCGAGAAAGUGGUUUUUCCCCCACCGGUGACCCUCUCCUCUUACUGCAUUUUGGAGUGUGGAUGACCGUGAGAACCUGCGAUGGCCUCCAUCAGGGUCCAUUCAAGAAGGAGAAGAUGGCCUAACAAUCAAGACGGCCCCUCCACAGACAUUCUCAGCGCUGUGCUGGAGGCCCUGCCUCCUAGACAUAGAGUUAACAGGGACCUGAUGCUCCAGAAAGCCACAGAGGCUAGGCAAGGUGCAGCUGGGCAAGUUCACUGUAAGGUGCCCCCCAGGGGCCGCUGUGUAAAGCUCUGCUGCCAGGGUAGCCUGGCUGUGUAGUGGAGAGCCUAGGGUAAAAUAGAUGCCCGGGAUGUGGGCCCCCUGCCAAGGAGAGGUGCAGGUUUUAAGCGUAGCCAAGAGAAAGGCCGUACGCUUUGGGCCGCAGGGCAGGACAGGUGGGACCACCCAAGCCUAUUGUAGUCCUGGAUACCAGACGGGAGUCUGUUUUCCCUGCUGGGUUUUAUCUUGCCUGAGUGCAGUCUUUCCUUGCUCUGCCCGUUUUUGAAGUUGGUUUUUUGAUGAUGGUUUUUGAAGUUGGACUGAAUGCACGUUGUGACGUGAGAUGUCUGGGAGCCAAUGGGAGCCACAGGUAGGAGGUUAGGGUUUGAAUGUGGAAUGCCCCACAGAUCCAUGUGUUCGAACAGUCUCCAGCUGGUGACACUGUCGUGGAAGGUGGAACAACCUUUAGGAGCUGAAGCAUCAUUAGAUGAUGUGGGUUGCUGGGGGGGGGGGGGGGGGCUGAGAGGUGUUUUAUGGGUUAUAGCCCUGAUUUUGACCUAACCAUUCUGUUUUUCCCCAUGUGCCUCCAAAUAAACAAACAGCUUGA